AUUGAACGCUGGCGGCAGGCCUAACACAUGCAAGUCGAGCGAGCGGCGGACGGGUGAGUAAUGUAUGGGGACUGCCCGAUAGAGGGGGAUAACUACUGGAAACGGUAGCUAAUACCGCAUACUAUCGGAUAACCCAUAUGGGAUUAGCUAGUAGGUGAGGUAAUGGCUCACCUAGGCGACGAUCCCUAGCUGGUCUGAGAGGAUGAUCAGCCACACGGGGACUGAGACACGGCCAAGACUCCUACGGAGGCAGCAGUGGGUAAUAUUGCACAAUGGGCGAAAGCCUGACGCGGCCAGCCCGCGUAGAGGAAGAAGGCCCUAGGUUUGUAAAGUAUGUUCAGUCGGGAGGCGUUACCGACAGAAGAAGCACCGGCUAACUCCGUGCCAGCAGCCGCGGUAAUUC
rnacentral:rRNA from 1 species